CCCAAAUAUACCACUGUCGGCUUCAUUGAGGUUAGGUUUCCAAGUUCAAAAAGCAAAACUAAAUCCUGAAAUCAGAUCUACUUCACUGCCACGUUUGGAUACUACGAAUACAUCAGAAUAUUUGAGUGACAGUGAAAUUAUUAAAGUUAA